UUGACACGCAAACGAGAAUUGUUAUUAUUCGCACAACUGGUCGCGAGAUCAGCCGAUAAGCUGAGAGCUCAGGCAGUCGAACUUUCAGGUUAUCUCCUCAUCAGGCUAAUCACGGUUUUGACCCGGCUUCUUGCCGGGUCUUUUUUU
rnacentral:sRNA from 1 species